UAUAAUGUCAUAGUAAUAUAUCCCUUUUAAAAUGCUUUCUUUCCUUGAAGUUUUUGUAUUUUAAAUCUUCUAUCUAAGUUUAGAAUGAAAAGCUUUUUUCUCUUUAAGUAACUUCAACUUCAACUUCAAGUAUGUUGUAGAAAUAUUUUGAACGUCAAGGGGAUCCUUCUUAUUGCCUUGAUCCAGAAAUCGUACCAUGAACUAAGCUGGUGCUAAGAAUGGUAGUUUUGUUGAGGUGUCACGUAAGACUGGAUUAAAAAGGAUGGUUCUGUUGGGGUGUCACAUAAGACUGGAUCAAGAAGCAUAGUUAUCUUAAGCCAGGUUCCCAAGAGGAAGAACCUGAGACAGACUUCCGUGUAUGUGAUUUAUCAAGGAUGAGCUCUCAGGAGAAACCUGUAAGGGGAUGAGGGGAGCAGGAUAGGACAGAGGAAGAAGCCAGGCAAAGACUUGGGCUUAACUGGUGACUGACUUCAGCCUGAUUCCACAGGCGGCUCAGUCACAUGAAUUUCACGUGGUUGUCUCUCUGUGAGAUGAGGCGGUUGGGCUUUUGUACUACGUGUUAGCCAGUCAACGUCUGUAGGCUGCCCUCAGUGCGGCAAGGAUGGAGCUUAGCCGUAAAGAGCAGUCACUUCUCAGGCAAGGCAGCUCUUGUUCUGCCCAGGCCAAUUCUCAGGAGAAGGGAGCAUCUGGGAGCAGUUAGCAGCAGCUGGAGAGGGACAUGCCACCCCAGGAAAGCGGAUCUGGGUGGGGCAGCAACAGCAUCCACUACAGUGGUCUCAGUACCUACCAUCCGGAUAGCUCCACGUUCCUCCUAGGAAGGAUGGUGCAGGUUCAAGGUCAGCAUGGGUGUUGUUGAUAGCUACUAUAACACCAACAAAAGGAAGUGAAACAUUCUAGAAACUUGAUUUGCCCAAAAAGUUAGUAUACCAACUUUUUUUCACUUCCCAUUAUCAUCUUAUCAUUAGUGUCCAGGCAAGCUGAUUAGGACAAAUGUUCACCUCUGCCUCUUCUGAUGAGGCUACCCACAGAGAAUCUCUGGGAGCUGAGGUUCAGAAUCAUCCUCUCUGCUACCUGCUGGAAGGAGAGUUCCAGUCUAUUGUGCAUCCUUGGUCAUGGUCCUUAGGUGAUAUUCACAGUAAACGACAAUGACACUGCACUUGACACUUACGUCUAAAUUCCACAUUACUUUUCGUUCAUGUCAGGUAAAGUGCUUUAAUUUUGUAGGUGGUUGACAAUAACCACUAUAACUGCGUCCCUGAGAUAUCCAUACGAGCUGACUCGAUGCUUUGCAUUUAUGCCUUUAAACUUGCCCGUAAAAUUUGGCCUAUGUACCUAGCCACAUACUUUUUAAAAAUAUGAUAAAAUAUUGUUGUGAGGCAAUUCUAGGAGUUGGGGUGGGGGACCACUUAGACAUCAGACAAGUGUUCAGAUUUUGGUCCUGCUACUUUAUAGCUAAAUUUGGCCAAGUCAUUUAACUUCAUUGAGAUUCAGUUUUCUUAGCUUUAAAAUGGGAAUAAAACCAAUCCACACUCCUGCUCUCAAGGAUUUUAAUGAGCCUCAACAUAAGACAGAAAAGGCACCUCGUAUAACAUCUAACUUCUUAAAUCCCUUCUCUUCUUUCUCCUUCCUCCCUUCUUUCCUCUGCAGAAAGUGGGUUCAUGUGUUUUCUUUUUUCCUCUUGCCCUUCAAAGGAUGUCAUUUGCGCUAAGUUCUGACGCCAGGCUGUUGUCCUGUGAUGUCUGUUUGCAAUCUGUCUUCACUUAUAUGUAAAUCACCAAGUCCUCAGCACCUCCUCACUUUCCUCAAAAAAGAAAAAGAAAAUUCACGCAUGCCAAAUAUAUUAGAGAGAAAUAGAACAUUCUCUGAAUCUUCCAAAAAGAAAAUGCAGCAAUGUCCACAUUUUCUUCCUACCCACCCACCAGCAAUUUGCUCCAAACUCUUCCUCUCAAGGCUAUUCUUCAAAGCCCCUUCUGGCCAAGCCCAGCAGCUCUCCUCCUGACACCACUACAGAAUCUCCACCUGGCCUCUAUUAGGCUGCUUCUUGUGCGGUUUUUGCUAACACUCCAAACUCUUAUUAAACUGAGUCUUUCCAACAAAUGCAAUUCUCUAGUGAGAGGAGGUCUAAUAAAAAAUAAAUAAAGUCCCUCCUUCUUAUAGUAGGAAAGCAGGCAAGUGGAGGGGAGGAUGAAUUUAAUACAAAACAGCUUCCUUGUGCUUGGUAGGAAAACUAUUUCUACCGGUAAUCUGCGAUCUGGAGCUCCUCUUGCUUUUAGGGUCUAAAUAAUCGUGUAAACUUCAUUUGUUUCAUUUGAAACUUGGCUGUCAUUUCCUGUCAGGAGGAAAACAAGAGAAACUCUGACUACACGUUCAUCUCCUGAUUACCUGUCAGCCUCGCAGGAACAAGCAUCUUGCAAUUUGUCCCUGCCCAGGCACUUCAUCUUCAAACAGAAACUGCAUCUUAAUUAUAGCCUUUAAUGGGCUGUUUCACUCCAGGAUCAAUAUGUCUGACAAAAACCAAGCUCUGCUAAAAGCUCAUUAAUUCUCAUCUGACUAAUUCAGGAUUUGUGAUGAUUUUGGCAGGGACCAAGCUGAAGUUUGCCUCUUAUAUUGCUGCUUACAAAGGUUUAGCUUGGCCAAUUAAUUGGGAAGAACAAAUUUGCCCGGGAAGUAUUUACAGAGCAUCUAUUUGCAUGGAGAUAACAGGCUAAUAGUAGCUUCUAGACUGCUCAAUUCCUACCAGGCAACCCAAGUUAAUCACUAUUUUCUCUCGGUAACCUGGACUAUGAAACUGCAAAGUGUAGUGCGUCAAAAAAUAUCUACAGACCCACUAGUUUUAUUGCCUCAUGGUCAAUGCCUUUGGUAUAUUGCACACAUCCCUCAUCCCACCUCUGAUUUCAGCCACAGCUGUAGUAGACAAUUCCAUGUAGGGUCCAGCUCAUCUCUGCAGGCAACAUCCAAUCUCCAGGACUGGAUGUGCAUGUCUUGUUGCCCUUGUGCCAGGGCCUCCUCUGAACCCACAGGAAGGGCAGGCCAGAAGUGUAGGGGGUUAAUGCCGACAGAGGGUAACGCUCCACUAAUGGGAGCUGGUGGGUAUAAUGACGGACAUGUUGGGAGGCAUUCCGUAAGCUUCUCAGGAGUCCUGGCAGAAGUGAGCCCCUACGGCCAACAGCUGUGAUCUUGAUCAUGUGCACUUGUAUUGGCUUCCUGCUUUCCUCUCUCACUCUCCCUGAUUCAUAGCAUCACUUCCCAAAUAAACUACCUGCCCCCACUUUGCUUUUGAGGGAAACCUAAGGUACCCCCUCCUUCAAAAGUAUGUGUGUAUCUGAGAUGUUUGCUCAUUCCUUAAUCCACUCGUUCCUUGGUAAAUGCAUUUCUUUCUUGUACUUCCUGGGUUUAGGAUGGUCCUUUGGAAAGUGUCGAAUGGGCAAUGUCUAUCUUCUUUUUCCUUUGCUGCACUUACAGAACUUUUUCCCUUCCCCCUGAUGUCCUUUUCCUGGGUUCUCACAGUCUUCUCUGCAGCCCUCUAUCCAGUUCUGAUCUGUCCCUAGUGCCAUUCCUCUGCCUCCUCCUUUUCCCCAAUAUUAGCAUAAUUUAUUACCCCCCACCCUUCUUCUGCCCUAUGUUCUGUUUCUCAGUAACACAACCCCAAAUAACGAAUAUAGUAGAUGGAUCCAUGUCAACAGAGCUCAUGUAUUUUUAUGUUACUCUGAGAAGGUAAGAAGUACAUGGUUUCACCAGGACCUUCUAAGCAAUUGAGCCCUUUCUAUUAUCACUCAAAUCAUGCCUAGAUUUGAUCAGAUGGAGACAUGCCAAGUGCUCCUGCCUUCUUGACCUUUAAUUGUCUCAGCUUUUGGAAAGUCACCAUCACCUGUUCUCCUCUGACCUCCGUGGGUCUUCUUUCUCCAUUUUUUUGGUCUUCUUCUCUUCUUCUUCCUGUCAUUUAAUUCCUUGUUACUCAUAAUGUGAUACAAUGACCAGUAAUAUUAUUUAAGCCUGGAAGUCUUCUACAAGUGUAGAUUCUUGGGUUCCUACACCACAUCUACUGAAUCACAGACUCUGCAUUUUUAAAAGACCCUCGGGAUUCAUAUAUACUCUAAAGAUUGAUAAAUAUUGCAACUGUUGGUGGUUUCCUAGGUUGGCAGACCUGUUUCUCUUCUCACUUUCCAAACUCUUCCAGGAAAUGUCUCUGCCCUCAUAACACCAGCUACUGUCCAUGAACUGAUGACUACAGCAAUCUAUUUCCAACUCAGCUCUCUGUUCUAAGCUCACGCUCAUUUGUGCAGCUGUUCCAUUGCCCACUGGACAUGUACAUCUGGAUAUCUCACAGGGGAGCCUGGCUCAAGAUAUGAAAGUGUGGUUUCUCUAGGGAGGCCAUUGCUGAUUGGGCUAGCCUGGCCAUUCAUAUCAAUUGGGCCCAAUUUAAAACUAGUUUGGGCGAUUACCUGUUGCCAUAGUAAAAAAAAAAAAAAAAGUUUUGUCCUUUCUUGAAUUUGAAGUCUAGGUACCUUUUAUUCUAAAAAAUCAGUGACUUUUUUAACUUUUAUCCUAUCAACAAACACCCUUGUAGUGGAUGCCAUGUAUUCCUUCAGAUCCGGUCUUCAGGGUCAAUACAGCUGACUCCCUGCUGCUGGAGAUCUCUGCAGUUGCCCUCCUUACUGGAAAUUGUCCGAGGCUGCAGGAAACUCAUUUUCUCAAAGGAUCCCAUCCAGGAUACCAAUUUAUAUUCGGUUGUCACGUCUCCUUAGGCCCCUCUCAGAGAUGGCAGUUUCCCAGACCUUCUUUGAUUUUGAUGACCACGACAGUUUUGAGUCAAUAUUCCUCAAAGAGACCUAAGAUAUUUUGUGGAAUUUCCUCAGUUGGGAUUUGUCUGAUUUUUUCGUAUGAUUUGGUUGGGUUUAUCAAUGUUUGGGAGGAAGGCCACAGAGGGAAGUAACAUUCUCAUCACGUCAUAUCAAAAGUACAUGCAUUUAACAUACAUCAUUACUGAUGUCAGCUGUGAUCACUGGGCCAAGACAGUGUUUGCAGGUUUCUUCACAGUAAAGUUACUCUUUUCUCUUUCUUUCCAUACUAUACGUUUUGAAAGGGAGUCACUAUAUGCAGCCCACACAUAAGGAGAGGAGAAUUAAUCUCUACCUCCUUGAGGGACAAAUAUCUACAUAAAUUAUUUGGAAUUUGUCUGCAUGGAGAUUUGCCUUUGGUCCUCUAUUUAUUUAUUUAUUCAACCAUUUAUUUAUAUCAGUAUGGACCAGUAGAACUUAUACUUUGGGUUAUCAUCUAAUACUACUUUACAUAUUUUGUUAUUCAGGUUGUUUCAGACCUGGCCAUUGGGCUUUUUCAGUUGACUCUUGUUCCUCUAACAUACCCCUAUCAUUGUGGGGAUUUUUUUGAUGUUUUGUUGGAGCACUUCCUUACUCUCUGAUCCUUUAUGUAUAUAUCUAUGUAUAUAUAUGCACACACAUACAUUAUAUGUGUGUUAUCAGAUAUGUUACAUUACAUAUAAUAUAUUGAUAUAUUAUACCAUAUAUAUAUAUAUUGUAUUUGACAUGCCUUGUAAAUUUUUGUUGAAAGCAUGGUAUAUCAGAUAAUGGGAACCGAAGUAAAUGGGCCUUUAGUGUAGGAUUUUAUGUUAAUCUGGCUAGCAGUUGAGCUGUGUUUGAUGUUUGCUGUGGCUACAUUGUGUUUAUCUCCCCUGUUGCUUUGGCCUUCAUAAGUACUCCUCCUCAGAGAGAGUCUGCAUGCUGUGGCUCCCUCUGCUAUACUCCACUGUUAUUAUACUGGAGUGCUGUUGAUGUUGUGGUAAGGCGUGGCAGAGGGGAAGCAUUCUAUAAUCUUAUGAUUAAAUCUCAGUCUUUCAGUGGGCCGGUGUCUCUGGACUAUGACCUUUGUGUUUCUUACCUUUUCUUUUUUUCCCCCUUAGAUGACACAGGAAGGCUGAAGGGGAUUGGAGGAGGAGGAAUGUUCCUCACCUAGCUAGGAUAAGGCUCCGGCAAAGUCUUUUUUCUGCAGAGUAGGCCUUCUUAUGGGGAGUGCUGUGGGUAUAUUUCACGAGGAUUACUCCACCUCCUGGGCAAGAAGCAUGAAGGGAUCUUUCUUGAAUCUUUACUGUGAGAACCUGUGGGGUUCUUGGAUGUAAAAUCCAUGAAAGUGUAGGGUCUGCCCUAAGAUUGCAGCCCUCAGGAAUUUUUCUCUCAUCAGCUGCAGUUACAGCUGUUCAGGUUCUAUGUCAGGCCAGGUCCUUCUUGCAUGUAUAGGUCCCAAUACAGAAGCAAUAGGAAGAUCAGACUUCUCUCUGAGAAAGGACAUUCUGACUUAGACUCCUGCCUUGAUUUUUAUCCAUAGAUGGAAGGGUACUAUCCACGGAGAGGUUUAGGAAACUAACACUGAGUGCAAUGUGGAAUCCUGGAUUGGAUCCUGGAACAGAAAAUAGACACUAGUGGAAAACCUGGUGAAAUUGGGAUGAAGUCUUCAGUUAAGAAUAUUAAUUUCCUGGUUCUGAUCAUUGCACUAUGGUGGUGUGUCAUGAUGAUAUUAAGGGAAGCUCAGUAAAGGGUAUAUGGAAACUUUCUGUUCUAUUUUAGCAACUUUUGUGUAAGUCUAAAAUUAAUCUAAAAUAAAAAGUUAAAGAAAGACACACAAUAAUUUAUUACUUCUCACACUUCUGCAGGUUUCCUGGGUGAUUCUUCAGUGUCUCACCUGGGCUCAUGAAUGCAAUGCCAUUAAUCUGGUGGGUUCACCGGGUGCUGGCUCAUCUGGAACGUGGGGGAAAUUGGGGAUCUCUUUUCAUGUAAUAUUUUUUUUUUCUUGCUAUGGUGGUUUCAGGAAAUGGUUUCAAGAUGGCAAAAACAUAAGUUGUAAGUUUCCAAAUGCCUUACCCUUGGUGGUUGUGCAUCACUUCUACCUCAUUCUGUUGGUCAAAGCAAGUCCUGAGGCCAGACCAGAUUCAAAGGAUAAGGAAAGAGACUUCAACUGUCAAGGGGAAGAGUGACAUAAUCACAUCACAAAAGGUUGUGGACACAGAGAGGUAUAAUUCAUGGGGGACACUAUUGUAAAAAUCUACAAGGAGCCAUAUUGGGCCGUGCCAGGAUACACCAAGGAACAGAUGACCAGGACACCUCCAUUCCCACUGCUGUCACAUCUCUCUUGCUGCAACCCUGGGGGAAUAUGGGCCUUCUCUCACCCUGAGUCACCUUUUCUGAUUCAAAUAAUUCUCAUGGAAUAAAAAAUAAUCCCAGUUACUAUA